rnacentral:rRNA from 1 species
UGUGUAGGCGGUUCUUUAAGUUUGCUGUGAAAUCUCCCGGCUUAACCGGGAGGGUGCGGUGAAUACUGAGGGACUAGAGUACGGGAGAGGAAAGUGGAAUUCCUGGUGUAGCGGUGAAAUGCGUAGAUAUCAGGAGGGACACCGGUGGUGUAGACGGCUUUCUGGACCGUAACUGACGCUGAGACACGAAAGCGUGGGUAGCAAACA